UGGCUCAGGGAUAUGAAACAACAUAUUCUGACACAACAUAUAAAUAUCUGCAGUCAAUACAAUCUUACCAAAAUGUGGAACUCAAGCAACUUUCAAGGCGACCAGCGGCCACUCACACCCAAAACCCUAAACCCUCCAACACCACCACAAAUCAACCCACAAGAAAAACCGCCCUCAACAGACCAAAUGAAUCCGCUUAGAGCACACUGUAUACUUCCAUGAGCUUCUUGGAGGCGAUGUUGUAAAAUACCAUAAUUUUGUGUUGAAUGGGAAGCCUCAAACACUUCACUUUGACAUCGCUAUCAUCAUCAAGCGCCCUUG
rnacentral:lncRNA from 1 species